rnacentral:tRNA from 1 species
GUUAUUUUGGCAGAUUAGUGUAAUAGAUUUAGAAUCUAUAGAUAUAAAAUAAAUUUUUUAUAAAUAAUA